rnacentral:sRNA from 1 species
UGCCAGAUAAGGGGAACUCGUAACCCCGU